AGAGCGCACGGAGGAUGCCUUGGCUUCGGCAGGCGAAGAAGGACGCGGUAAGCUGCGAAAAGGUCCGGGGAUUUGCAAACAGGAUUUGAUCCGGACGUGUCCGAAUGGGGCAACCCGCACGGCUGAAGGCCGUGCACCAGACUGUGUCUGGGGCGAACCCGGGGAACUGAAACAUCUUAGUACCCGGAGGAGGAGAAAGAAAGAGUCGAUUCCCCCAGUAGUGGCGAUCGAAGAGGGAAGAGCCUAAACCGUCGUGUUCACGGACAUGGCGGGGUUGUAGGACCGGAGAUAUGGACUGCCUCACGAACCGGAAUUUUCUGGAAAGUGAAGGCGCAGAGGGUGACACCCCCGUACGGGCAAGGCGGGGCAGUCCUAUCCGGCACCUGAGUAGGGCGGGGCACGUGGAAUCCUGUCCGAACCCGCGGGGACCAUCCCGCAAGGCUAAAGACUGCCGAAGACCGAUAGCGGACCAGUACCGUGAGGGAAAGGUGGGAAGCACCCCGGGAAGGGGAGUGAAAUAGAACCUGAAACCGUGCGCUUGCAAGCGGUCGGAGCACCGGUGACGGUGUGACGGCGUGCCUUUUGCAUAAUGAGCCUACGAGUUGCGUCAGUCCGGCGAGGCUAAGCCCUUCAGGGGCGGAGCCGGAGCGAGAGCGAGUCUGAACAGGGCGUUCAGUCGGGCUGAGCAGACGCGAAACCUAGUGAUCUACCCUUGUCCAGGGUGAAGGCGCCGUAACAGGCGCUGGAGGCCCGAACCAGUUUCCGUUGAAAAGGGCUUGGAUGAGAUGAGGGUAGGAGUGAAAGGCCAAUCAAACUGGGAGAUAGCUCGUACUCCCCGAAAUGUCUUUAGGGACAGCCUCGUCGGUUUCCUUCAUGAGGUAGAGCUACCGAUUGGAAGCGAGGGCUUCGCCGCCUAUCAAUUCCAGACGAACUCCGAAUGCGUGAAGGUUCUACGACGGGAGUGAGUCGUCGGGUGCUAAUAUCCGGCGGCGAGAGGGUAAGAGCCCAGACCUCCGGCCAAGGCCCCCAAGAGCGGUCUAAGUUGAGACAGAACGAAGUGGCGCCGCAGAGACAGCCAGGAUGUUAGCUUGGAAGCAGCUAUUCAUUCAAAGAGUGCGUAACAGCUCACUGGUCGAGCGGAGCCGCGUGGAUGAUGAUCGGGCAUCAAGACCGCCGCCGAAGCCGAGGACGGCUGGCGCGAGUCAGUCGUGGUAGGGGAGCAUUCCGGUCGGCGCGGAAGGGAAGUCGCGAGGCUUCCUGGAGCGUCCGGAAAAGAAAAUGUAGGCAUGAGUAACGACAAGGGGCGUAGAAACGCCCCCGCCGAAAACCCAAGGUUUCCGGGGCCACGCUAAACGGCCCCGGGUGAGCCGGGAGCUAACGGUAAGCCGAGAGGCGAUCCGGAUGCACACGCGGUUAAUAUUCCGCGGCCGGCCCGUCGGGCGAUGUCGCGACCGAGAAGUGAAACCUCCGCGCGGAGACGGAAUUCCGCGUUGAAGGCCGUAGGGGUGACCCGAAAGCCGACAGUACGGCGAGCCUCCGGGCGAGCCGACAGCGAGGGUAAUCAUGCUCGCGAGAAAAGCGACUAGCGCUAAGAGACGGGCCGCCCGUACCGUAAACCGACACAGGUGGGUGGGGAGAGUAUCCUGAGGCGCUCGAGUGAAUCACGGCCAAGGAACUAGGCAAAUUGACCCCGUAACUUAGGGAUAAGGGGUCCCGCGGCGACGCGGGCGCAGAGAAAUGGCCCAGGCGACUGUUUACCAAAAACAUAUGGCUAUGCGAAAUCGUUAAGAUGACGAAUAUGGCCUGACACCUGCCCGGUGCCGGAAGGUUAAGAGGGGGGGUCACCGAAAGGGAAGCCCUGAAUUGAAGCCCCGGUAAACGGCGGCCGUAACUAUAACGGUCCUAAGGUAGCGAAAUUCCUUGUCAGGUAAGUUCUGACCCGCACGAAUGGCGUAAUGAUUUGGGCACUGUCUCAACAGCCCGCCCGGCGAAAUUGUAGUACUGGUGAAGAUGCCAGUUACCCGCAACUAGACGGAAAGACCCCAUGGAGCUUUACUGCAGUUUAAUACUGGGAAUCGGUAAUGCAUGUACAGGAUAGGUGGGAGACUAGGAAGCAUGGUCGUCAGGUCAUGUGGAGUCACCGGUGGGAUACCACUCUUGUAUUGCUGAUUUCCUAACCUGCGGCCGUGAAUCCGGUCGGGGGACACUGUUAGACGGGCAGUUUGACUGGGGCGGUCGCCUCCAAAAGAGUAACGGAGGCGCUCAAAGGUUCGUUCAGCACGGACGGAAAUCGUGCAUUGAGUGUAAACGCAUAAACGAGCCUAACUGCGAGACCGACGGGUCGAGCAGUAACGAAAGUUGGAGUUAGUGAUCCGGUGGUAUGUGAGUGGAAAUGCCAUCGCUCAACGGAUAAAAGCUACCCUGGGGAUAACAGGCUGAUCUCCCCCAAGAGU
rnacentral:rRNA from 1 species